CGGAAGUGUGGGAGGGUCUGCGGGGCGGGCUCAGGGAGGUCCGCCGGGAGGAUGGAGCAGUGAGCGGGUCUGGGCGGCUGCCGGCAGCGCCAUGGAGACGGUACAGCUGAGGAACCCGCCGCGCCGGCAGCUGAAAAAGUUGGAUGAAGAUAGUUUAACCAAACAACCAGAAGAAGUAUUUGAUGUCUUAGAGAAACUUGGAGAAGGGUCCUAUGGCAGCGUAUACAAAGCUAUUCAUAAAGAGACAGGUCAGAUUGUUGCUAUUAAGCAAGUUCCUGUGGAAUCAGACCUGCAGGAGAUAAUCAAAGAAAUCUCUAUAAUGCAGCAAUGUGACAGCCCUCAUGUAGUCAAAUAUUAUGGCAGUUAUUUUAAGAACACAGACUUAUGGAUCGUUAUGGAGUACUGUGGGGCUGGUUCUGUAUCUGAUAUCAUUCGAUUACGAAAUAAAACGUUAACAGAAGAUGAAAUAGCUACAAUAUUACAAUCAACUCUUAAGGGACUUGAAUACCUUCAUUUUAUGAGAAAAAUACACCGAGAUAUCAAGGCAGGAAAUAUUUUGCUAAAUACAGAAGGACACGCAAAACUUGCAGAUUUUGGGGUAGCAGGUCAACUUACAGAUACCAUGGCCAAGCGGAAUACAGUGAUAGGAACACCAUUUUGGAUGGCUCCAGAAGUGAUUCAGGAAAUUGGAUACAACUGUGUAGCAGAUAUCUGGUCCCUGGGAAUAACUGCCAUAGAAAUGGCUGAAGGAAAGCCCCCUUAUGCUGAUAUCCAUCCAAUGAGGGCAAUCUUCAUGAUUCCUACAAAUCCUCCUCCCACAUUCCGAAAACCAGAGCUGUGGUCAGAUAACUUUACAGAUUUUGUGAAACAGUGUCUUGUAAAGAGUCCUGAGCAGAGAGCCACAGCCACUCAGCUCCUGCAGCACCCAUUUGUCAAGAGUGCCAAAGGAGUGUCAAUACUGCGAGACUUAAUUAAUGAAGCCAUGGAUGUGAAACUGAAACGCCAGGAAUCCCAGCAGCGGGAAGUGGACCAGGACGAUGAAGAAAACUCAGAAGAGGAUGAAAUGGAUUCUGGCACAAUGGUUCGAGCAGUAGGUGAUGAGAUGGGCACUGUCCGAGUAGCCAGCACCAUGACUGAUGGAGCCAAUACUAUGAUUGAGCACGAUGACACGUUGCCAUCACAGCUGGGCACCAUGGUGAUCAAUACAGAGGAUGAGGAAGAGGAAGGAACUAUGAAAAGAAGGGAUGAGACCAUGCAGCCUGCAAAACCAUCUUUUCUUGAAUAUUUUGAACAAAAAGAAAAGGAAAACCAGAUCAACAGCUUUGGCAAGAGUGUACCUGGUCCACUGAAAAAUUCUUCAGAUUGGAAAAUACCACAGGAUGGAGACUACGAGUUUAAAACUAGCCAAGAACAGUAGUCUGAAAAAGACAUAUGUAUCCAAAAUUGCCAGGGAAACCUGCUGUGUAGAUACGCUUUCUGAGAAACCACAUGCUUAAGAGUUGGACAGUGGAGGACCUUCAGAAGAGGCUCUUGGCCCUGGACCCCAUGAUGGAGCAGGAGAUUGAAGAGAUCCGGCAGAAGUACCAGUCCAAGCGGCAGCCCAUCCUGGAUGCCAUUGAGGCUAAGAAGAGACGGCAACAAAACUUUUGAGCAAGGCCAGGCUGUGAGGGCCCCAGCUCCACCCAGGCUUUGGGUGAAUUCUGGAUGGCUUGCCUCACAUCUGUUAGCCAGCACUUCUACUCUGUCGUCUCUCCACAGCACCUUUGUGAACUCAGGAAUGUGCGCCAGUGGGAAGGGCUCUCUUGACAGCCAGCGUGCCAUCUUGAUGUGUGUAUGUACAUUGGUCAGGUAUAUUAUUUCAAAGGAUUUAUAUUGGCGCUUUUAACUCAGAGUUUUAAACCCCAGGAACAGAGACUCCUAGUUGAGUGAUAGCUGGGAAAGUUUUACGUUGUCUGUUUGCUUUUCUUCUCCCAAUAGCUUUCAAUUGUUCUUUCUGGAAGACUUUUAAAAUAUAUAUAAAUAUGCAUAUAUAUAUAUAAAUUAUAAAUAGAUUCCCCACUCAGUGUGGUGGCAUCUCUGUACAGGUACAGUUUUAAACAGUUUGCCUCUUCUGUAAGAUUAUGGUACUGUGGAACAUGAGGGCAGAGGACACCGGGAGGUUGUUAGGGGGUCACUGAAUCCCAGGAGCCAACCUCCCCCUUUGCAGGGCUGCAUUUAAAAAUUAGGUUUGGGACAGUUCUUUUACCAUGGUUUCAGCCUUGUGUGGUCAUCACUGGCUUCUGGAGCUACUGUUGAUGUCCAAGGGAAAGCUUUGAGAGUUUGUGUUUACUCUUUGAGUCCCAGGAGAAGCCUGGUACCCUCUUUGCAAAUUGGCCUUUGCUCUUUCAAUGCCUUUCAUCCAUCUCCACUCUCUCAACUGCCUAAAGUCACAGCACAGAUACUGCCCAGUGCCUUAAGAGGAGACAUGAUCCACUGAGGGGAUAGGUCUACCAGGAACUCUCAGCAAACACGGGGCUGUGUUCAGUCCAUAAAGGAAAAGCAUUUUCAAAGCUCUCAUUGUUCAUGUAAAAAUCAUACACGUGGCAUUUUGCUCCACAUUCCUUACACACAGGGGUAGAGAGGAUUGCUUUUGUGACCCACAUUCAAAUAUGUGACUGUUUUCUUUUCUCUUUCACUGCUAAGCAGCCUGGAAAGGAUAAAUGAAUAUUAGACUAAGAUUUGUUCUCCAGGAGGCUCAACCUGAACUGAACACAUAGAAUGUCAGAGCUGGAAGGGACUAUAGAGAUCAUCUGGUCUGACCCUCUUGUACGGAUGAUCAGAAAACUGUGUAGAGGGGAAUGGCCAAAAUCACAAAGCAAGUUAGCAUAAGAGCUCGGACUAGAAUUCAGGGUCCUCACUCCCAGGCCACCGAACCAUGCAGCCCCUUCUUUGGGGGAAGAGACCUGUGUCAGUCUUGGUUAAUUAUUCCAGGGAACCUUGCUAACAGAAACUUACUCUUGCCUUGUCUCUUCAGUAGGUAUGACCUGGCUGUAAAAAGAUUGCCUAGACGAGCCAGAUCAUUCAGUUUCAGCAAGUCCUUGAGCUCCACAACAUCUGCCAGAUAUAGCAGACAAGCACCCAUGGAGGCAGGUUUCGGGCCUGAAGCAAAUCAGAGGGCUUUGCAAAAGACAGCAUAGAGCCAUCUUCCUGCAACUUUACCUCUUUCCCUCAGAUGGGGAGCCAUGACUGGCUUGCACCUCAGGAUACUGUAAUUUGACUCCAUAAUUGCUUUUGCUCCUGAAACCUGGGAAUCAAUGGAAAGGCAGGGAAUGUGCCUCUUCUGUGGCCAGAUUCUGUUAUUUGCAAUUAAAGCAAGUUUUUAAAAAAUGCAAGAGGCAGUUGUUAGUCUUCAGGGUUUGGCCACUGAAAUAGCUAUGUGGCAGAUACUGAAAACAGAGGACAAUUUGAGGAUCUUGCUGGAAUAAUAAAUGGCAGCUACCAUUUGUUGAGCACAUAUUAUUAUAUCAGGCACUGAGCUGGGUAGGCUCUAAACUUCACAAUAACCCUAUGACUUAACUACUUUAUCUCCAUUUUGUAGAUGAAGAAAUAAGUUCAGAGAGUGAUUCCUUCCCAAGGUCAUGCAGCUAGUAAAUGGCAGAAUCAGGACUCAUAGCAUCACUAUAGGGGAUCAAUAUUUACACAAAAAAGGAGAGUCACAAGCCUAUUUAAAAUAAAGUGACCACCUUUUCUUGCAUAGACUAACUCUAAGUGGCAUUUUUAGGUUGGAAAGACAGCUGAAUUAGUUAAGUCUGAUUGCCAAGUAAGUCUUAAAAACCAAAGCAUCCACGAUGCAUACCCCUGCACCAUUUGCUGUGCGAAUUAAUAGUUUUGUCUCUCUCUCUCUCUUUUCUCUUUUUAUUUUUUGAGACGGAUUUUCGCUCUUGUCGCCCAGGCUGGAGUACAAUGGCAUGAUCUUGGCUCACUGCAACCUCCACCUCCUGGGUUCAAGUGAUUCUCCUGCCUCAGCCUCCUGAGUAGCUGGGAUUACAGCAUUUGUCACCAUGCCUAGAUUUUUUUUUUGUAUUUGUAGUAGAGAUGGGGUUUCACCAUGUCAGUCAGGCUGGUCUUGAACUCCUGACCUCAGGUAAUCCACCCGCCUCGGCCUCCCACAGUGCUGGGAUUACAGGCAUGAGCCACCGCUCCUGGCCUCUCUUUCUUUUUUCAACAAAGAAUUUUGCACUUGGCCAGACAGGAGAAGAAAGCCCAUUUUCUCCCUUCCUAAGCUAGAUCCAAAUAAAAUAAAGUUCAGUUUCCCCAUAACCAUUCUUGGGUCAUGAACUUUGAUCUGGAGUUUGUUUUGUUUCAGGCAUGUGUGCACCCAGCUUGCUGAUCCAACAAAGUCUAUUGCUUACCAGCUUGAUGGAGCCUUUUGGCCAGAAGUCAGUUUUUUUUGGAUCAGAGAAAUUUCCUGACAAGGUAUAUUUGUUUUCUAGUGACAGAAAGGCAAAGGAGCAAGUCCUAGUUUUUUGUUGUUGUUGUUGAAUACUAAAUUAAGAUAUAUCAGCUUGCUUUCAUUGAGCCUUGGGCUUCAGUCAUUGCUUGAGCAUUUGCAACUCGAGCUUCCAGGGAAAUUUGAGGUCCUCGCUUGUUUUCUGCUUUCAAGAACAAUGACCUGAUUCUGUCUUUAAAAAAAAAAAAAAAAAUCUCUGAAUCCUUUUUUUUUUUGAGAUGGAGUCUUGCUCUGUUGCCCAGGCUAGAGUGCAGUGGCGCCAUCUCAGCUCACUACAACCUCCAUCUCCCGGGUUCAAGCGAUUCUCCUGCCUCAGCCUCCCAAGUAGCUGGGAUUACAGGCGCUGCUCCACCACGCCUGGCUAAUUUUUGUAUUUUUAGUAGAGACGGGGUUUCACCAUAUUAGCCAGGUGGGUCGUGAACUCCUGACCUUGUGAUCCACCUGCCUUGGCCUCCCAAAGUGCUGGGAUUACAGGUGUGAACCACCGUGCCUGGCCAAAAAUCUCAGAAUUCUUUUAAGAAUAUCUUAAUUGCUCCAUCAGUAAUUUUGAAGUAGAAAUUUUGAAUUUCCUUUUUUUUUUUCUUUUUUGUCCUUUUCCCCUAGCCACUAAUUGGAUGGAUGAAUGUUUGACGGGGAAGAGGAAGGGUGAGAGGAUGCAUGGAUGAGUGGAUGAGUGGAUCGAUAGAUAUAUUGAUAAAUAGAACCAGUCAUCUGAAGCAACUUGAGAAUUGUAGCCUUAACUCCUUGAGACUAUAGAUUUCGAUCUAGGAAACAUGUAGCACCUGCCAGAUGCCAGAAAUUUAUACCAUUUAAAACUCAGUAAGUCUUUUCAACAUCAGGAAUGAGAGAAGUGACAUCAUGAUACAUCCUAUGGGUAUUAAAAAGCCAAUAGAAUAUUAUGAAUAAUUUUUUGCUAAUAAAUUUAACAACUUCAACAAAAUAGACAAAUUCCUUGAAAAAUAAAAAGUACCAAAAUUCAUUCAAGAAGAAAUAGAUACCAGCCUGAGCAACAUGGUGAAAUCCCAUCUCUACAAAAAAAAAAAAAAAAAAAAAAAUUAGUUGGGCAUGGUGGCACACACCUGUAGUCCCAGCUGGUCAGGAGGCUGAGGUGGAAGGAUCACCUGAGCCCAGGGAGGUCGAGGCUGCAGUGAGCCACGGUCUCACCACUGCACUCCAGCCUGCAUGACAGAAUGAGGCCCUGUCUCAAAAAAAAAAAAAGAAGAAGUAGAUAAUCUGAAUAGCCCUAUAUCUAUAGAAACUUAAUAGUGCUGGGAAAUAUAGGUAUUAUUAUCCUCAUUUUACAGAUGUGAAAAUUGAGGCUUGGAGAUGUAAAGUCUAUUGCUCAAGGUCAUGUGGCUAGAAUAUGACUGAGCCAGGAUUCAAAUCCAGGUCUUCUGAUUCUUAUUCCAGUGUCCUUUCUAGCAUACCAUAUUGCCUCUAAAGAUUGCAGCUCCUCAUUUACUAGAAAUUUGUUCCUGCCCAAUCUACAUCUCCACCUCACCCCAUCUUUUCUUAAGCACUAUGUUUGUGUUUUCAUCAGUAUUAUAUUCAUUGUCUUUGGAAUACAUGUUCUUGUUUGUGUUUGGAAAAAAAUCUCUUUUACCAGCUUGCACUCGGACCAACUUGGAAAAAAAAAAAAAAAAAAAAGCUUAAAUGCUGUUGCUAUGUACAGUUUAAAAAUGUGAAGUUUGUAGCUUUAACUUUUUGUAAGAAAAUCUAAUAACACUGGCUUAAGUGCUGACUUGAAAUGCUAUUUUGUAAGGUUUGGAUGUAAGUAAUCAAUUGAGGUCAGCAGUUUGUAUAAGUAUGAGACGUAGCUUCCUCCAUUGUCCCCACUCCUUUUUUUUUUUUUUUUUAAGUUUGAAAUGCUUCCUGUGUUUUUAUGUUAGAAUUGUUCUCCUUCCUUUCUUCUUCCUAUACCUCAUCACCUUUGUUUUAAAUAAACUGUUCUUUGGACCACAAACCCUUAUUAA